AUGAGUAGGGCGGGACACGUGGUAUCCUGUCUGAAUAUGGGGGGACCAUCCUCCAAGGCUAAAUACUCCUGACUGACCGAUAGUGAACCAGUACCGUGAGGGAAAGGCGAAAAGAACCCCGGCGAGGGGAGUGAAAAAGAACCUGAAACCGUGUACGUACAAGCAGUGGGAGCCUCUUAAUGGGGUGACUGCGUACCUUUUGUAUAAUGGGUCAGCGACUUAUAUUCUGUAGCAAGGUUAACCGAAUAGGGGAGCCGAAGGGAAACCGAGUCUUAACUGGGCGUUAAGUUGCAGGGUAUAGACCCGAAACCCGGUGAUCUAGCCAUGGGCAGGUUGAAGGUUGGGUAACACUAACUGGAGGACCGAACCGACUAAUGUUGAAAAAUUAGCGGAUGACUUGUGGCUGGGGGUGAAAGGCCAAUCAAACCGGGAGAUAGCUGGUUCUCCCCGAAAGCUAUUUAGGUAGCGCCUCGUGAAUUCAUCUCCGGGGGUAGAGCACUGUUUCGGCAAGGGGGUCAUCCCGACUUACCAACCCGAUGCAAACUGCGAAUACCGGAGAAUGUUAUCACGGGAGACACACGGCGGGUGCUAACGUCCGUCGUGAAGAGGGAAACAACCCAGACCGCCAGCUAAGGUCCCAAAGUCAUGGUUAAGUGGGAAACGAUGUGGGAAGGCCCAGACAGCCAGGAUGUUGGCUUAGAAGCAGCCAUCAUUUAAAGAAAGCGUAAUAGCUCACUGGUCGAGUCGGCCUGCGCGGAAGAUGUAACGGGGCUAAACCAUGCACCGAAGCUGCGGCAGCGACACUAUGUGUUGUUGGGUAGGGGAGCGUUCUGUAAGCCUGUGAAGGUGGCCUGUGAGGGUUGCUGGAGGUAUCAGAAGUGCGAAUGCUGACAUAAGUAACGAUAAAGCGGGUGAAAAGCCCGCUCGCCGGAAGACCAAGGGUUCCUGUCCAACGUUAAUCGGGGCAGGGUGAGUCGACCCCUAAGGCGAGGCCGAAAGGCGUAGUCGAUGGGAAACAGGUUAAUAUUCCUGUACUUGGUGUUACUGCGAAGGGGGGACGGAGAAGGCUAUGUUGGCCGGGCGACGGUUGUCCCGGUUUAAGCGUGUAGGCUGGUUUUCCAGGCAAAUCCGGAAAAUCAAGGCUGAGGCGUGAUGACGAGGCACUACGGUGCUGAAGCGACAAAUGCCCUGCUUCCAGGAAAAGCCUCUAAGCAUCAGGUAACAUUAAAUCGUACCCCAAACCGACACAGGUGGUCAGGUAGAGAAUACCAAGGCGCUUGAGAGAACUCGGGUGAAGGAACUAGGCAAAAUGGUGCCGUAACUUCGGGAGAAGGCACGCUGAUAUGUAGGUGAAGCGACUUGCUCGUGGAGCUGAAAUCAGUCGAAGAUACCAGCUGGCUGCAACUGUUUAUUAAAAACACAGCACUGUGCAAACACGAAAGUGGACGUAUACGGUGUGACGCCUGCCCGGUGCCGGAAGGUUAAUUGAUGGGGUUAGCGGCAACGCGAAGCUCUUGAUCGAAGCCCCGGUAAACGGCGGCCGUAACUAUAACGGUCCUAAGGUAGCGAAAUUCCUUGUCGGGUAAGUUCCGACCUGCACGAAUGGCGUAAUGAUGGCCAGGCUGUCUCCACCCGAGACUCAGUGAAAUUGAACUCGCUGUGAAGAUGCAGUGUACCCGCGGCAAGACGGAAAGACCCCGUGAACCUUUACUAUAGCUUGACACUGAACAUUGAGCCUUGAUGUGUAGGAUAGGUGGGAGGCUUUGAAGUGUGGACGCCAGUCUGCAUGGAGCCGACCUUGAAAUACCACCCUUUAAUGUUUGAUGUUCUAACGUGGGCCCGUAAUCCGGGUUGCGGACAGUGUCUGGUGGGUAGUUUGACUGGGGCGGUCUCCUCCUAAAGAGUAACGGAGGAGCACGAAGGUUGGCUAAUCCUGGUCGGACAUCAGGAGGUUAGUGCAAUGGCAUAAGCCAGCUUGACUGCGAGCGUGACGGCGCGAGCAGGUGCGAAAGCAGGUCAUAGUGAUCCGGUGGUUCUGAAUGGAAGGGCCAUCGCUCAACGGAUAAAAGGUACUCCGGGGAUAACAGGCUGAUACCGCCCAAGAGUUCAUAUCGACGGCGGUGUUUGGCACCUCGAUGUCGGCUCAUCACAUCCUGGGGCUGAAGUAGGUCCCAAGGGUAUGGCUGUUCGCCAUUUAAAGUGGUACGCGAGCUGGGUUUAGAACGUCGUGAGACAGUUCGGUCCCUAUCUGCCGUGGGCGCUGGAGAACUGAGGGGGGCUGCUCCUAGUACGAGAGGACCGGAGUGGACGCAUCACUGGUGUUCGGGUUGUCAUGCCAAUGGCACUGCCCGGUAGCUAAAUGCGGAAGAGAUAAGUGCUGAAAGCAUCUAAGCACGAAACUUGCCCCGAGAUGAGUUCUCCCUGACCCUUUAAGGGUCCUGAAGGAACGUUGAAGACGACGACGUUGAUAGGCCGGGUGUGUAAGCGCAGCGAUGCGUUGAGCUAACCGGUACUAAUGAACCGUGAGGCUUAACCUUACAACGCCGAAG
rnacentral:rRNA from 1 species